UAAGGAAUAUUGCGCAAUGGGGGAAACCCUGACGCAGCAACGCCGCGUGGAGGAUGACACUUUUCGGAGCGUAAACUCCUUUUAUCAGGAAAGAAUAAUGACGGUACCUGAUGAAUAAGCACCGGCUAACUCCGUGCCAGCAGCCGCGGUAAUACGGGGGGUGCAAGCGUUACUCGGAAUCACUGGGCGUAAAGGACGCGUAGGCGGAUUAUCAAGUCUUUUGUGAAAUCUAGUGGCUUAACCACUAAACUGCUUAGGAAACUGAUAGUCUAGAGUAGGGGAGAGGUAGAUGGAAUUCUUGGUGUAGGGGUAAAAUCCGUAGAGAUCAAGAAGAAUACCCAUUGCGAGAGCGAUCUGCUGGAACCUAACUGACGCUGAGGCGUGAAAGCGUGGGUAGCAAACAGG
rnacentral:rRNA from 1 species